rnacentral:lncRNA from 1 species
ACAACCCCAACCUGCAAGAAGAAACUCAGAGAAGAAAUCCCCAAUUUCCAAAUCACUAAUCCCUAAUUUUUAAUGAGUUUUUCCUAGAUAAAACAUACUCAUUAAUCAGUUUACCAUGUUUUAAAAUUUAAAAUAAUAUAAAUAUCCACAUACUAAUCUCAUACUCUGCCACGUCAUAGGUAAAAGACAUCUCAGUAUGCCAC